rnacentral:rRNA from 1 species
AGAGUUUGAUCCUGGCUCAGAUUGAACGCUGGCGGAAUGCUUUACACAUGCAAGUCGAACGGCAGCACGGGAGCUUGCUCCUGGUGGCGAGUGGCGAACGGGUGAGUAAUGCGUCGGAACGUACCGAGUAAUGGGGGAUAACGCACCGAAAGGUGUGCUAAUACCGCAUACGCCCUGAGGGGGAAAGCAGGGGAUCGUAAGACCUUGCGUUAUUCGAGCGGCCGACGUCUGAUUAGCUAGUUGGUGGGGUAAAGGCCUACCAAGGCGACGAUCAGUAGCGGGUCUGAGAGGAUGAUCCGCCACACUGGGACUGAGACACGGCCCAGACUCCUACGGGAGGCAGCAGUGGGGAAUUUUGGACAAUGGGGGAAACCCUGAUCCAGCCAUUCCGCGUGAGUGAAGAAGGCCUUCGGGUUGUAAAGCUCUUUCAGCCGGAACGAAACGGCACGCUCUAACAUAGCGUGCUAAUGACGGUACCGGCAGAAGAAGCACCGGCUAACUACGUGCCAGCAGCCGCGGUAAUACGUAGGGUGCGAGCGUUAAUCGGAAUUACUGGGCGUAAAGCGUGCGCAGGCGGAUUGUUAAGCAAGAUGUGAAAUCCCCGGGCUUAACCUGGGAAUGGCAUUUUGAACUGGCAGUCUAGAGUGUGUCAGAGGGGGGUGGAAUUCCACGUGUAGCAGUGAAAUGCGUAGAUAUGUGGAGGAACACCAAUGGCGAAGGCAGCCCCCUGGGAUAACACUGACGCUCAUGUACGAAAGCGUGGGUAGCAAACAGGAUUAGAUACCCUGGUAGUCCACGCC